UUAUUCAUUGUCUGUUGAAAGUACCUUGCUGAUGCUUUUACACUUUUAAAUAUCCUUUUAAUGUUUGGUGAUUGAAGGGUGAGUAGUAGGCUAUAAUGUCAUCUCAUUGUACCCAGUUUAAAAAACAAAACAAAAAACGUAUUAUUGCUUUCAUAGAGCGAGACAUUCACUGAUUGUUUACAGCUUAACGGAAGUUACCCCUUGCAUUUAGAAUUUUUUCCCUCUUUGAGAAUGGAUUGUUUGGAUCCGUGACAGACUAACUGAGAACUGCUAGUUUAGAAAAAAGCUGAGCUGCACACUACUAAAAAAUCUAGUUAAUUUACUAGUGACACUACUUUUAGUUUGUCAACCCCCCAGCAACACCCCCCUAUCCCCCAAAACACUGGUGUCUAAGCAGUCACAUUUGGCACAAAGAGCUUUUGAAAAAGAUGUGUGCAAUAUUCAAGAAUGUGUGUUGAAACGUGUGCAUGUGCCUGGGAAUUAAUGUUUCCUCAUCUGAGCUCCACAUCCACUAGGUCGUAAUCAUCUCCUCUAAUGUCAUUCCUCACGCCGGGCCCAUGCAGAAAUAAUUACAAAAUGGAGGUGCAAUUUUCAGACUGCGAUACUGAGAAAAGUGGCACACAAGGCCUCGGAAAUGAAAACAAGAUUGACUGUAGAUUUCAACGAGGACCCAUUGCCAUUUUCCGGAUCCCAAAUUGUAUUUCUCUAACAAAUAUGGUUUUUGGUUGCUUAAGCUUUACUUGAAAGGCUUCCACUGGGCCUGUCGAACAGCAGGCGAGAGACACAGAGAGAAUUUUCCAAAGCCAUCACCACCGCCAUGUUCCCAUGAACCCUAGAGGUCCAAAGCCUUUUUCCCAGUCCUCACCCCUGCUGGAGAGAGAACUUUGAUGAAGGGAUCAUACAUCAGUUUGUUAUAAGCAGGAGUGUGUAAGGCAGACUCCAGGUCCUGUCUCUGUACUUGUGCAGGCGCCCUGGGUAAUCAGGCCCGUGAAAUGUGUUUUCACUGCUGAUUACAGAGCAGCGGAGUGCAGACUGCCUGCGUACCACUGGAAAAGACCCCCCAACUCCUGUUGUUCUAUCAGGUGUUAUAUUAGGAAGAUGGCCGUUUAGAGGAUUGUCUCCCUGGAAGCAGCUGCGAAAAGCUCUUUGCCAUGAUGGUUUCUGUUUUUCCACUUGAAUACAUUUUCCAGUUAGAGAAGAAAGGUUUAAGAUUAUCAUCAGCGCCACCUACCCAUGAUGCUUUGUUUUGUGGGAAUUUGACAGCUCCCCUAGGGAUUUUCAUGCCAUAUUAAUGAUCCUGAAUGAUAUCUCCCUUUGUGUUCCACAGAAGUGUUUGGAACGACAUGAGGCUAAACAGUUUUCCUUUUGAUGAAGACACUAGCAGCAUUGAAGUACACAAUCAGAGCUGCUUCCGGCCUCAUUUCCAUCUCAAAACACUGGUGUGACCAAACCUCUGGGGAGAAAACUCAGCACUGAUGUCUUUCAUGUUCCAAGCCCGAGGAUUCUCAUUUUCCUCUGGAUCUGUGAUGAGAAGCAGGCAGAAGUGUGUAAAGAAGCUUUCAUAUAUCUAAAAGCAAUCCAUUGAGAUCUUCAAGGCCUGACCCAACAGCUACAAAUAGAAAAAUCAUAAUCACAUGGGGAGAGUGACGGCCAAAAACACACCAGCAGUGAAUCAUAGGACAGCAGUGGCUCCAACCGUCUUUUUACGUCAAAUGUGAUUCAGCACACAUUUACAUGUUACAGUCUUUUUUAUUUUACAGGACAGAUGCCCAGAACAUUCCAGACUUUCCCGAAAGUCCCAUUCACUUAUUUGGAAUGGACAAGUACUAUAAACUACAGACACAACUACACUGUAAAAAAGAAUAAAAGGGCACCUGCACCAGAAACUGCCAUGAAGAUGAAUGGGAACGCUAAUGGAUGGCUCUUUCCAGAUGACUACAACUGAUAGCCAGGCACAGCGGCCCAGUACCUGCUACAUUUGAAGUUGAAACACACACCCUGUCACCUCCUGACCGCAUUACUCAUCCACAGCCAAACAAAUAAAUCAGAAUAAUGAUAAUAGUCAAAAUUCAAAUCAGCCGGAGGAAACGGUCCAUGAAAGCACCAACAUUGACGUACACGUUUGGCUGUGUUGACGGCAGUGAGCGAUUUCCAUGACAGUGUUUAAAUAGGUGCGGUCCCACUCCUCCUCACAGAGCUCAGCGCCUGGAUUACUUCAUAAUCCACAGCAUAUUAUGGGCCUGGCACUAAUUGAAAGAUAAAUUAGUUUAUUUGGGUUAAAUCCAUCACCAUGACAUGAACCCAAAGGAGAGCGAGGGGGGAGGAGAGAUGGGAGCGCAAAGGAAUACUGAAGACGUUUGACUUGCGCCUUCAGCCAGCUGGAUCAGAAGUAACAUCAGAGACAAACACGCGCAGGAUCACAAGUGAUUAAGGAUGUGAGAGCAGGAGGCUAAUAUAUCCAAGCCUCAUUUUCAUGCAGAACAUUUACUUAAAGGUACACUACUUUUUUUUUUUCCAAAAUUAACAAAAUUUAAAGAAUGAGUCAAUACAUCAUCAAUUCUUCUUCCAAAAUGUGUUUUUUUUUUUGUUUUGUUUUUUGUUUUUUUGUCUUACCCCGAUUCACCAUGGUAAAUGUUUUUAGACCUAACAGGAUGAUUUUCAGGGGAAAUUUCUUACGUCACUCACCCGUGCACGUCUCGUCAUAUUCAUAAGUAGAGAAAAGUUGCUCCGGCUACUUUGACUCGUGUAUGGUGUGGGAGUGGUAUAGGUUAGUUGUCACAACAAGCGAGAAAGGUUGACAUGGAGUACGCUAAAUCGUGAACCUCUGACGAAUCACUUAUUUCAAAAUGACGCAGAACAGAGGAGAUUCUGCUGCUAAAAAGAGAGGGCCAUAAAUUACAUAUAAUGUACCUUUAAAAGUCAACUUAAAGGCAUAGUUCACCCAAGCUUUGACGCAUCUAAAAGUUCAUAGAGAUCGUAAAACUAAUCCAUAUGAAUUGAGCA